CUGCUUGAGCAAGGAAGAUACCACGUUCGCACAGGUGUUUUUUUCCAGAGUGAGGCUUGUCCCUUGCAUACCAGGCAGGCUGACCCCUGUGAGUUUCCCUGAAUGUGGGAAACUCAACUGUACAAUUUCGUGGCAAUGGGGGACUGUGUUCACACCCCCCGC